AAAAAAGAAGACUUAAGUCCUCGAACCUUCAGGACUUGAACCUUGGCGAGGAAGUACGAACCUUGAAGUUGUUGUUUUGGCUUCAAACUUCAAUGUCCGAACCUUUAGCUCAUGGAAUCACUAGUAAACCUUCGGGAUCCAGAUCUCCAACGGCAAGUUCGGACCUUAGCUACGUAAAUAACAAAGUCAAAUGUUCAAAAUCUGGACUUCCACUAGAAGGUUUGGACGUUGCUUCUGCGGCUCAGGGAAAACCUUCAGGAUCUAGACUUCCUAUAGUCUGGAGCAGCAUUUGAGGUGGUACAAUUUCUCUCUUUUGGAGGAUUAAGUUGCAGUUGUGCAACUCUAUAUAGGGCCCCUAGGGCCCUUUCUCCGUCACUUCUCCAAAAAAAAAAAAAGAGAAAAUCUUUUUUCUUUUCUUUUUUUUUUUUUCUAAAACUCAAUCUAUCACUCUCUAACCUAUUUCUCUUCCUCUCUCUUGCAAUUUUUUCACAAGAUUUGAGAUUUUGGAGUAAGUGCCAGUAAAGGAGCUCUUUUAGAAGGAGUGAAACAACCUUCUUAGACAAGGAGGAGUUUGUGAGAUAAGGUGUAAUGAGUUCCAUGUGAUUUCUUGUUAGGAUUUGGAAAUAAUUUUAGAAAAAUAUGAUUUUGGAGAACCCUAGAAGGAUCGACAGUAGACUUUUGGGAGAUUCACCAUAAUCAUGAGAGUUUGUUGAGGAUAGUUGAAAUCUAGGUCGAAAAUUUGGGGUUUAAUUUGACCUAGGGGCUUUCAAAGUAAAUUAACCUUUUGAAAUUUCAAUUGAAGAGUAGAUUGAUGUGGGAAACAAGAAAAUUUGACUUUACGAUGAGGUUACUACAUCCAAUCGAAGGAUUUGGGCCAAUUUUGAAGGUUUUUGACAAAUUGGCCUUGGACUUGGACGAUUCAUCGACGACCAUCGAAUUGCUUGGUUUUUCUAGCUAUUGGCGACGAACCAAGGUCGUUCGUGUGUGGCGCGGCGGCGCGAGGCGAGGGCGUAGCUCAGUAGAUAGCGCCCCACCACAGAGACCGAGGUAGCAGUACCCUGAGGCAGUCUAGUUUAGGGGUCUAGAAGGCAAGAAUCAAGAUGUAUCAAACUUGUAAAAUAAAAGAUGUAAUACAUUGUGAUUGUAAUCGGAAGUAAAAUGUAAACUGAUUUGAGA